UAAAGUGGCGAACGGCUGAGUAACACGUGGGCAACCUGCCCUUUGCACUGGGAUAGCCUCGGGAAACCGAGGUUAAUACCGGAUACUCCAUAUUUGUCGCAUGGCGAAUAUGGGAAAGCUCCGGCGGCAAAGGAUGGGCCCGCGGCCUGUUAGCUAGUUGGUGGGGUAGUGGCCUACCAAGGCAAUGAUGGGUAGCCGGGUUGAGAGACCGACCGGCCAGAUUGGGACUGAGACACGGCCCAGACUCCUACGGGAGGCAGCAGA
rnacentral:rRNA from 1 species